CCUAUUCUCCGAACACCCUAACUGCACUAUCCCAUCCCAACCGAUAUGACGACCACCGCUUGAGGUCCGAUUAUUAGACUUCGCGUACCUAUGUUCAAUAGGAACCUUCCUUUCUGUUAAGGCUUAGACGAAACAGAUGCUUAUUCCUUCGAUAUUCAUUACGUUGAUACUUAGAGUACCUCUCAAGCUAGGACCGAGUCCUACUUGCGACCGCCGUACGAAUUGUGUACGUUCAGCUUGCCCUUCACCACAAAGGUCACCGCUUGCCCACUCAUUGCGCAUUCUUGGACGGGAACCCUCCCCUUGUUGUUGACCUUUGCCAACGAUUAUGGGGCAUACGACUCCUCGUUUUCCUCUUUAGACGGGUUCCUCCCCGAGCGCAGACUAAUCGAUCAACCACUCCAUUAUCGAAUGGUUCCGCUACUAGUCAUCGACCAGGCUCUCCUACUAGUCGGUGUGACCCUGACUCUGUGCCGGGUCUGAGGAUGCCCUCCGUCGUCACCCCUUAAAAGGCGUUACCCGCUUUCGGACUGCCUCGUUACGGCGCACCUCCACCUUCCGGAUGCCCAGCAGUUGAAGAAAAGAGCCUCUUCUUUGUUACUGCCAUAGACUCCUUAUUCGUAGCCGAUUGAGACACGGUCGUCGGCGCCAUUCUGUCUCCUACGUUCGCAAUAGGCCUUACUAACCCGCAUUUCGCAGACAUCCACCGAAAAGUUCAGGCGGCAGUUUAGGGUCCCGAGUUGGGACCUGUCCGCCACCUUUGAUGGUUCGACCUCAUGCCAUCCCCGUCUCCCUUAAAAGCCACCUCGCCACUUUACGUAACUCUAGCCUUUCUUGUGGUUGCCGCUUUCGUGAGACGACCCGGCUGUGACUGUGACUCUCUGCUUUCGAUCCCCUCUUUUACCCUAAUCUCUGGGGUCAUCAGGAUCGGCAUUUGCUACCUAUGAUCCACGACACGCUGAGCUGGGCACGUCACGACAUCGAUUGCGUAAUUCAUAGGGCGGACCCCUCAUACAAGCGUUCUUACUUUGAGUUUCCUUAACUGCCCCCGGGCGUGUUCGCCACCACGUACCGACAGCAGUCGAGCACGGCAUUCCACAACCCAAUUCAGAGCGUUGCUCGCGUUGGGAGCACAAAUCAACGGUGAUACUCAAACCUUGGGACUUGUCUGGCGGCCACAAUUCGGCCUCCUUCCUCUCCUACUCCGGUUCAGUAGUACGGGGAAUACGGGACCCGCUGUGUGCACGAUGUUACCCGCCCUGUUUCCCAGCGCUAGAGCGUUCCCACUCGAUUGAGGUUUUUGGGCAGGAGUCAAGCCUAACGUCCGACGUUGAGCGGACGUACUUCGUCCUUAGCGAUCAUUAGCGGCCAGUCGGUAUGCCGCCACUUAGGCAAGGGCCCGGAACAUGUGUGGCGGGCAGUGUGAUAUCCUCGACCGGUACAAACUUCAGUAAUGGGAAUUGGCAUUCCUCCCCCUACGGAUUCCGAUCCGAACGCUGACCUCACUUCAGCAUUGUUCCAUCGGCAUGACCUUCCACGCCGACCUAGUGGAGGAAAAGUCCCUCUCGAUUACGAAUACGAAUAACCCAUAAAACCAAACUGUGAAGAAGUGCGGGUUUUUCUUCCGUCGAUGCAGACUCGAUUUGAACCUAUCCCUUCAGAAGAAAGCAAAUCCCACUUCAUUCUGGUUCGAGUACUCGAAUAAUAGGAUCCAGCAUUGUUUAAUCAACUAUCACUAUCCUAGGGAAAAAACCGCAGGGGUACAGGGGGGACACCACACCGCCGUACCCCUACAGUUUUCCUUUCCCUACCUCAAAAAGAGCGAAAACCGCAUCGUCCGGAGGGAAACCCUCCGGGCGCGCUGCCCGAUAAUCGAGUCACCAUCUCGCGCGGGGACUAUUAACGCAGCAACACGGACCCGACACUCCCGAGAGUCGGUGUACCUAUCAAGUUACACGAGUAGUCGCGGACUGGGCUUCUACACCUAGUAGGUUCCGUGUAAUCGUACCGCAUGAGGAGGACAAACUUAGCCUCAAACUUUGGUUUGUUUGAAGAGGAGUCCUCCUAUCUACCACGCUAAGUCCACUCUAGGGUACAUCUAGAUUGAAAGAUAAGUGAGCACCCUAGGCCCGCCAGGCCCCCCCCCGGUGGUGCCGAGGAGAGAAGAGCUCUUAGGUAUGUAGGGAAUAGUCACAUACCUCUCGAUAGAGAGCUCGUGUCCAACUCCAAGCAGGAGUUACCCUUUUACCUCGUGGAUUGUUGCGUAGAAGUGUCUGGUUCUUGAUGCUCUAGUGGGGAAAGUAAGACCCCACUGCCUCCCUAGUAUGGUAAGCUCGGAAAAAAAGUACGAAAAGGGCCGCCAGACCUCUUUCGUCGUUAGUUAUCCUGAAAGGAUUAGGAGGGAAGGAAAGUCCUUCUUGCACUUUAAGAAAAAGGAAUUUACCCUCGUCUCGUCCAAACUUUUUCCUAGAAUCUCACAGAUCCCAACCCGGUCCUCCCAGAGAAUUGCGGAAGGAAAAAGACGGGUAGCCUCAAUAAAGGGUUCCUGAACGGUACCAUUCUCCCUCCUCCCCCUUCUUCGUGUGAACUUCUCGCGUCAUGUUGCCCCUCAACAUACGACGCAAGCCCUUCCUACUUAGCGAGGGCUUUUCCUCAGAUAACUAAGAGAGGGUUAACCAACCUAGCAUCCCCGCUACUAAAUGAAGUGCCCGCUCCAGAGACCAAGUUCAGGUCCUACCGGGUCGACGCGGUCCCUUUUCUUAUCUUCUUCGUAGACUGAGAAAGUACGUAUGAGGUGAACCGAGCCCCCCCUAUAUCGAGUCAACCAUCUCGAGGCGAGAACGUUAACCCAGCAACGCUAAUGCCCAACCGACAGAUUAACAGGUCCGCCAUUACUAUCAUAGAACAUGGACUUGGCCACCGAGUGAAAAAGAUUCAUUACCCCUUCUCCUGACUUUGUACGGUGACUUUCUGAGAUGAUUCUGUUUUUCUACCCGAAAGUUUUUCCAUCUCCUCCAUCCUACCCGUCAACCAGUCUAGAUCAUACCUAGCAUGUACCUGCUAUCAACCUCAGCCGCCGAGAGGAUCCGAAGGGAGUAGACCCUAGGGACCCCUUCUCCUAGUUCAACCGGGAACGCUUAUUGAACUACGUGAUAGAGGGAAGUUGGGAAACUCGCUUUACA
rnacentral:rRNA from 1 species